ACAAGGCGUCAAUUUUGAAAACUAAAUAUUUUUGAGGCCAUGGAUCGAGUGUGCUCGCUUUUGCAUCUUACAGAAACGAUGUGAUCAUAUAACUAACAC
rnacentral:misc_RNA from 1 species